rnacentral:rRNA from 1 species
CCUACGGGGGGCAGCAGUGAGGAAUAUUGGUCAAUGGGCGGGAGCCUGAACCAGCCAAGCCGCGUGAGGGAAGAAGGUACAGCGUAUCGUAAACUUCUUUUCUCAGGGACGAAGCAAGUGACGGUACCUGAGGAAUAAGCCACGGCUAACUACGUGCCAGCAGCCGCGGUAAUACGUAGGUGGCAAGCGUUAUCCGGAUUUACUGGGUGUAAAGGGCGUGUAGGCGGGGACGCAAGUCAGAUGUGAAAACCACGGGCUCAACCUGUGGCCUGCAUUUGAAACUGUGUUUCUUGAGUACUGGAGAGGCAGACGGAAUUCCUAGUGUAGCGGUGAAAUGCGUAGAUAUUAGGAGGAACACCAGUGGCGAAGGCGGUCUGCUGGACAGCAACUGACGCUGAGGCGCGAAAGCGUGGGGAGCAAACAGGAUUAGAUACCCCAGUAGUC